rnacentral:rRNA from 1 species
UACGAAGGGUGCAAGCGUUACUCGGAAUUACUGGGCGUAAAGCGCACGUAGGCGGCUUGCCAAGUCGGACGUGAAAUCCCUCAGCUCAACUGAGGACGUGCAUCCGAAACUGGCGAGCUUGAGUGCUGAAGAGGAUCGCGGAAUUCCCGGUGUAGAGGUGAAAUUCGUAGAUAUCGGGAGGAACACCAGUGGCGAAGGCGGCUAUCUGGACCGUAACUGACGCUGAGGCGCGAAAGCGUGGGGAGCAAACAGG